UAGGAAUAUUGCACAAUGGGCGCAAGCCUGAUGCAGCCAUGCCGCGUGUGUGAAGAAGGCCUUCGGGUUGUAAAGCACUUUCAGCGAGGAGGAAGGUGGUGAACUUAAUACGUUCAUCAAUUGACGUUACUCGCAGAAGAAGCACCGGCUAACUCCGUGCCAGCAGCCGCGGUAAUACGGAGGGUGCAAGCGUUAAUCGGAAUUACUGGGCGUAAAGCGCACGCAGGCGGUUUAUUAAGUCAGAUGUGAAAUCCCCGGGCUCAACCUGGGAACUGCAUUUGAAACUGGCAAGCUAGAGUCUCGUAGAGGGGGGUAGAAUUCCAGGUGUAGCGGUGAAAUGCGUAGAGAUCUGGAGGAAUACCGGUGGCGAAGGCGGCCCCCCUGGACGAAGACUGACGCUCAGGUGCGAAAAGCGUGGGGAGCAAAACAGGAUUAGAUACCCUGGUAGUCCACGCUGUAAAACGAUGUCGAUUUGGAGGUUGUGCCCCUUGAGGCGUGGCUUCCGGAGCUAAACGCGUUAAAAUCGACCGCCUGGGGAGUACGGCCGCAAAGGUUAAAAACUCAAAAUG
rnacentral:rRNA from 1 species